rnacentral:lncRNA from 1 species
GGAAAUCAUAAUGGCAAGUUAAUACAUGCAAAAUAUUACAUAGAUAGGAUAAAUCGUGGGAUCUUACUCAAAUUAAUGCCCCUUCAGGUUUUUGAAGAUUUCAAGUUUUUCUUGGAGGUUCAAAAGUCGGCCAGCAAUGUUUGGCAGGUUCUUGGGAAAAUUUAAAUUGUUAGUUUUUAUGAAUCUCAAAUUUCUUGAAGGUUGAAGAACAGCCAGCAACAUAUUUUCUUGAAGUUUCGGGCAGAUUCAAAAGGGUUGUAAACCGGCAAGAAAAGGUGUUGCAAUGUCCUUUAAGGAAGACUCAAGGCAGCUUCUUGGUUCAAUCAAGUGCCAGCAGGUUGCUUUCUUGCAAUGGUUGAGCUGCUUCAUGGGAUUACUUGGUUCCAUGUUCAGUCAGCUAUAUUUAUACUGUGAGUUUGGCCUGUUUAUGUGCCAUUCUAGUCAGUUUGUGGGCAGAUUCUGGGUGUUUAUCUGGCCAGCUGGGUGUUAGCUCUUGAAGAUUUGAAAUGGUUCUUGAAGUUCAUAAGUAGGUAAAUUAACAGGGUGGCAAGUUUUGAUAAACCAUUGGAAUUUCAAGUUAUUGUUAGGUUGUUUUUUACUUAAUUGGGCAAUAAAUUUAAAUUUUGAAUUUUCUCAAACUGCCCUUGCAUUAAUGCAGCAAGGUUGAUUGUUUUAUGCAGUAUUUUGUUGCCCAAAUUGGCAAAAAACUUCAUAAAUGGGCAAUGUUCUUCCCGCCAGCAGGCUGCUUGGUUUGAUAGCUUUCAAUAUUUAAAACCUUUUUGAAGAUUUGGAAUCCGAUCAACAGGCAAGUAGCUUGUGUAAAGGUCCAGAUCGAAUUAGCUUGUGUAAAGGUCCAGAUCGAAUUAUUUUGUGGCUUUGUCGAUUUAAAAAUAAAUUGCAGAAACAAUAAAAGAACAACACGAUAUUUUUCGCUCCAAAGAGGGGCCCGGAUGUUCAGCCUUUCGACCUAAUCACCCGUUGAGCAUCUGUAGACAGAUAUAGCUCAAGAUCCACUAAGAAGAACUAAGAAAAUGUUAUAACAUGUACGAAGAAACAGAAAGUUUCUUCAAUAUAUCUCUCUAGCCUCUUUACUAUAGGAAAUCACAAAGAUCGGCCUCUACAAUGAAAGCACUCAACUCUCAUUUACACGACAUACAAAAGAUUCACCACUAAGAUGAAUUUUUGGAUUUACAAAGAAAGAAAUCAGCAAACCCUAACUACACUCAGAGAAAGGGAAAAGGCAGAGAGAGGGAGUCACGAAGCAUCUAGAGAAUGAUGGGCCAAACCAAGUUAAAUAUCUGGUCAACAAAGAAUCAAGAUACAAGGGAUGAGUAUUAGCCACGUGUACGGCUGAUACUCAAUCCUUAAGAGGUAGAUAAAAAACGUGUUUGCAUAAGGACGUUUUCUUUAAAAUCUUCAACAGUUGAAAACUAAUCAGCCCAAAUACAAAUGACCCGGUCCAUGCUAAAAAAUAUGGCCCAAAAGUUGUGAGGCAGCCCAAAAUUCAGUUUAACAUUCUCCACCUUGCUGAACAAUUCUUUUGGCGCUAGAUAGUGGAUCUUGUAAUCUACAUAUGAUUACUUCCUUUGCUCUAAGUUCCUUAAAAAAAAAAAUAAAAAAAUAAAAAAAUCAGUUAGUACAUAUACUACAAAGUUGUACUUGAAAAUCUGAAUAUCACUACUUCAAGUGAUAUUUAGGAUCUUCAAUCAAUUUUUAAAUUUAUUCAAAGGUAAUACCUUUGUCUCCAAAUAUGAAGGAUUAUAUUUUGAAAGUAUUUUUAUUAGUUUAAUCAUACUCUUUUCUGCCAUAUUUCUUACAUAAUGAUACUUUAUAUCUAAAUGCUUGGUCCUAUCAUGAUAUACAGGAUUCCUACUUAAAUGUAUGGCACUCUGAAUAUCAGUAUAAAUCCUUACAGAAUUAUUAAUGAAACCUAUUUCAUUUAAUAAGCCUCUUAGCCAAAUGUCUUCUUUCACAGCAUCACAUGCAGCUAUAUAUUCAGCUUUAGUAGAGGACAAGGCAAUCAAUUUUUGUAACUGUGACUUCCAACUAAUGCAGCCAUCACACAAAGUGAAAAUGUAUGCAAAUGUGGAUCUUCUUUUAUCUAAGUCACCAGCAAAAUCAGAAUCAGUGUAACCCUUUAAUAUUACCCCUUCUUUGCACCUUUUAAACACUAAAGCAAGAUCAGUUGAGCCGUUUAAAUAUCUCAACAUCCAUUUCAUGGCUAACCAAUGUGUCUCACUUGGAUUUGCCAUGAAUCUACGAAGUAUACUAAUUUCAUGUGCUAGAUCAGGUCUAGUGCAGACCAUAAGGUACAUUAUUGAUCCCAUAGCAUUAGCAUAAGGAAUUUUCUCCAUUCUUUUAAAUUCUUCAUCUAUUUUUGGUGAAAAUUCAUUUGAAAGUUUGAAAUGAUUUGCAAUGGUUAAAGUAGCAGGUUUGCACUCAAGCAUAGAAAAUUUUUCAAGAAUUUUCUUCACAUAAGAGUUUUGUUUCAAAAACAAGAUACAGUUAUGCCUAUCUCUUUCUAUUUCCAUUCCAAGUAUCCUUUUAGCUUGCCCUAAGUCUUUCAUCUCAAAUUCAGACUUCAAUUUUGACUUAAUAAUGUCAAUUUUAGAUUUAUCAUAAUAGGCAAGUAACAUAUCAUCAACAUAUAAUAGCAGAUAAAUGGAUUCAGGCCCUUCAGAGCCUUUAUAAAAUAGGCAGGUAUCAUAAUUGCUUUUUAAAAACCCCAAUGUCUGCACAUAGGAAUUAAAUUUCAUGUACCAUUGCCUACGGGCUUGUUUCAACCCAUAAAGCGAUUUUUUCAACAGACACACCUUUUCAGUUUUUUAUCUUACUCCAAACCCCAUGGGUUGCUUCAUAUAUAUAAUCUCAUCAAUGUCACCAUUUAGAAAUGCUGUUUUGACAUCAAGUUGUUCCGAUUCCCAAUUAAAAUGGGCAAUAAGAGCAAGUAGUAUUCUGAUUGAAGUAUAUUUUGCCACAGGUGAAAAUAUUUCAUUAUAAUUAAUCCCUUCUUUUUGAGUAAAACAUUUGGCCACUAAUCUGGCCUUAUAUCUUUUAUCUUCAGAAUUUAUAUCCCCUUGUUUAAUUUUGAAAAUCCAUUUACAAUCUGUUAUCUUAUGAUUUUUUGGUUUAUUAACAAGAAUCCAGGUUCUAUUUUUAAUAAGGAGUUCCAUUUCUUCAUUCAUAAUCUUUUUCCACAAAUCAGAAUCUGGAUGACUAAUAGUUUCAUCAUAAGUAGUAGGUUCAGAAUUUAAAGAAUCAAGGGCAGAAUAUAGAGUAACGAACUCAUCAUUGUUAAAUUUGGAAGAGGGAAUUAUUGUUCUCCUUUCUCCGUCUUUAGUUAACUGAUAGUCAUCUAGAGUAGGACCAGUAAUUUCGUUUUCAUUUUCAUAUUCAUCUUGCUCAUCAUUAUUAUCAGAUUGAGUGGACUCCACCUCAAUUUGAUCAUCUUGAUUAUCAGCAUUUUCAGUUUGACUUUGUAAAAUGGUUUUCCUUAUAGGUGCAUUUUUAGUAACUUUUUCAUCAGGUGAUUCUUUACAAGGCAUGUCUUCCUAAUUAAAAAUGACAUUUCCACUAAUAAUCACCUUAAAACCACUCUGACUAUUGACCCACAAUCUGUACCCUUUAGUUUCCUCCAUAGCCCAGAAAAACACAUUUUAAGGACCUUGGUUCAAGUUUGCCUUCACUUUGAUGUGAGUAGGCAGAACAGCCAAAAACUUUAAGUUUAUUGUAAUCAGGUGUAUGUCUAGACCACAAUUUCUCAGGGACUUGAAAAUCAAUAGCACUAGAUGAACUUCUAUCUAUUAGAUAGAUUGCUGUUUUUAUGGCUUUACCCCAGAUAAACUUUGGAAGACCAGAACUGUAUAACAUACAUUUCACCUUUUCCAAUAGAUAUCUAUUCAUUCUCUCAGCAACUCCAUUUUGCUGAGGAGUAUGUGUAAUAGUUCUAUGUCUUAGAAUACCAAAUUCUUUGCAAAAUGUGUCAAAUUCAUGGUUGCAAAAUUCAAGUCCAUUAUCAGUUCUUAGUGCUUUAAUUUUCUUAUUGGUUUGACUUUCAAUCAUGAGUUUCCAUUGUUUGAAGGUAUGAAAGGUAUCAGAUUUUUGUUUUAAUAAGAAAGUCCAGAUUUUUCUUGAAAAAUCAUCAACAAUGGGCAAGUAGUAUUUAAAUCCACUUAAAGUGCUUAUUGAUACUGGACCCCAAAGGUCAGCAUGUAAAUGUACCAGAAUUGAAGUGGAUUUAUGGACUUCUGUUUUGAAAGGUAAUCUUUUAUGUUUUCCUAGAAUACAGCUUUUACAAAAUUCCAACCCUCCAAUUUUAUCAUUUCCAAAACAACCUAGUCUUUUCAAAAUAGUCAGUCUCUUCUCAGAAAUAUGGCCAAAUCUUUUAUGCCAAAUUAAGGACUUAUUUGUUUAAGAGUUUAAGGCUGCACUACAAUAACUUGCAACAGGUUCUGCAAGAAUGGUAUAUAUACCAUUUGUUUUUGGGGAGGAUAACACACCUUUAUUUCCUUGUUGCAGUUUUAAGAGGCCUUUAUUAGUCAUAAUGCUGUAUUUAUCAUCAAGCUCCCCCAAGGAAAUAAGGUUUCUUUUAAGUUCAGGCACAUAUUUGGUGUUCUGUAAUUCAAGUAUAUAGUUAUUCUCUAACUUCAACUCAUCCUUCCCAAUACCCUUUAUUUGACAACUCAUAUCAUUUUCCAUCCGAAUUUACCCUCCACUAAGUUCAGAAAAUUCAGAAAAACAUUCUCUUUUGGGACACAUGUGAAAUGUACAUCCAAAAUCCAGAACCCACUUUUUUGGGUCUCCAGUGGUGGUGCUAACAAGAACUACACCCUGAAUGUUAGGUUCAUUUCUACAAACAACAGUUGCAGAACCAUCAGGAUUGUUUCUUUCUUUCGUAUCAAAAAUUUUCUUAAAACAGUUUUUUAUAACAUGUUCAGUCUUCCCACAGUAAUAACACUUUCUAAUAUGAUUCUUUUUCUUCACAUGAUUUUUAUUCUUUUCUUUGGGUUUGGGAUUUGGAGAUUUCCAAUUCUUAUGGAAAUUGGAGCUAUGUUGAUUUUGUUUCUUGAUUUGAUUCACCCUUUCUUUUAUGUGCAACCCUUCACCAUACUUAAAAUCUUUUGAUUCAACAUUUAGUUCAAGUUCUCUAUUUCUUAAGACUACAGUUAUCUUAUCUAUGGUGAGUCCUUGGCCCUCAUAUUCCAGAGAAUUUCUGAUGUCUUUAUACUUAUCACUUAGAGAGUUUAAUAGAGCAACAACUUGUUGAUCAUCAGAAAUUUCCUCAUCACACUUAUCUAAGUUCUGAAUCAAUUUAUUAAAUCUGUCAAGGUGUUCUUUCAAAUUGGAUGAGGGGUCAAAUCUAAAGUUAUAGAAUUGCCUUAGAAGAUAACAUUUAUUAGGCAUGGUUUUGGUGAGAUACAAUGUUUCUAGUUUAGUCCAUAAUGCAGUAGCAGAGAUGGUUUUACCUACUUUUCUAAUGACACUGUCAGAUAAGUGCAAGAAAAUUGUACUCCAUGCAAUAUCAUCUAAUUCUUAUCUCUUAUAAGCACUUAUUUAUGCAGCCCAUUGACCAUCAAGGGCUGCAGCACAUGUUUGUUGUAAAAGUAAUGUCCUCAUCUUCUGGCGCCAGAGAUUGAAGUCUCCAGUGCCAUUCCAAGUUUCAAGUUCAAAUUUAUGAGUAGUGGACAUAAUGACAGAUACAAGCACAUAGCUGUUAUCAUACAAUACUCAGAGUAUAAUGAUUCAAGCAAGUUAUUAUACUUAGGAAAAAUGAACAGAUAAUAAGGCAGGAUAUAAUAGAAUUUAUGCCUACUAAUUAUACAGUUCAUGUAGUCAAUAUAUGAUGUUUCGAGAAAGGUUUAAGGACUGUUAAUCCUUAAUUCCACUACUCCCUCAGAUUCCCAGAUUCUCUCAAGAGAUCUUGGACAAAGGAAAGUAAUGGAGAAUUACUUACCUUAACAACCAAUCCCAAACACACCAAAAGAGUGAUAGUUUAUGAAGGGGGGUUUCAAGAAAAAAUACCAAAGCCUGAAACUCGACAGUUUCAGAUUAAGGGAAGCACCAAGAAUAUGCUAGAUACGGAUCAAGUUUAGGAAUGCAGGUUCAAGAAACCAACGAGUCACCAAGACUCAGUAGUGACUUAGCAAGAAAGUGAAGAACUCAGUACAACACGAGGUGAGUUAGCACAACUCGUCAAACUCAGCACGAGUUGCCAUGUCAAAGGUAGAAGAAAAGUCAAUAACUCAAAAGAAGCUUCAGAAACUUAGUAAAAACAGUAAAUCGGAACGAGUUCAAAAUCGAGUUAUAAGAGUUUCAAAGAAAGCAGUUUAUGUUUUUUAAAAAUAACUUCGAUUUGUACCAAAAAAAAUUUAUUCUUGAAAAAAUAUAUUCGAAAUUUUUAAGAUCUGCAAUAAACAAAAAAAUUUCAGAAACAAAAAAAAAAUUCCACACAAUAACUCGCUUUGAUACCACUUGUAAAGGUGCAGAUCGAAUUAUUUUGUGGCUUUGUCGACUUAAAAAUAAAUUGCAGAAACAAUAAAAGAACAACACGAUAUUUUUCGCCCCAAAGAGGGGCUCGAAUGUUCAGCCUUUCGACCUAAUCAGCCGUUGAGCAUCUAUAGACAGAUAUAGCUCAAGAUCCACUAAGAAGAACCAAGAAAAUGUUACAACAUGUACGAAGAAAUAGAAAUUUUCUUUGAUAUAUCGUUCUAGCCUCUUUACUAUAGGAAAUCACCAAGAUCAGCCUCUACAAUGAAAGCACUCAACUCUCAUUUACACGACCUACAAAAGAUUCCCCGCUAAGAUGAAUUUUUGGAUUUACAGAGAAAGAAAUCAGCAAACCCUAACUACACUUCGAGAAAGGGAAAAGGCAGAGAGAGCGAGUCAUGAAGCAUCUAGAGAAUGAUGGGCCAAACCAAGUUAAAUAUGUGGUCAACAAAGAGUCAGGAUAUAAGGAAUGAGUAUGAGCCACGUGUACGGCUAAUACUUAAUCCUUAAGAGGCAGAUAAAAAAACGUGUUUGCAUAAGGACCUUUUCUUUAAAAUCUUCAACAAUUGAAAACUAAUAAGCCCAAAUAUAGAUGACCCGGUCCAUGCUAAAAAAUAUGGGCCAAAAAUUGUGAGACAGCCCCAAAUUCAGUUUAACAGCCUCCCUGACCAAUUGCUUGUUUCAUGGUUCAAACAGCUGGCCACUUCAGUUUGGUUCUUGUUACUAGCAGCCUGCAUGUCCAAUUUUGGUUCUUUGUGAGCAAGCAGCCUAGUUUUAUUGGAGGAAAGAGGGGUUUACUAACUUGGAUUAACACUAAUAGGAAGAAAAAAGUGAACAAAAUGAAACUUGUAUUUCUCAACUCCAAAACUUAAACACUUGGCUUCGUACAAAAUGGAGGACCCCACCCCUUUAUAUAGUGUUUACAUGAAACUUCUAGUCCAUACAAUUUUCUAGAGAAUCCUAAACCACAUAUUUACAUGAGACUUUUAGACCACACAUUUGGACAAGUUAUUUUUCUAAAAUACUCUAGAUAGACUUUAUAAGACCCCAUAAUCUGCUUGAGACAUUACCACAUUUAUCACCACAUAUUUUACUUAGAUAUUUAUAUAUUAUUUUCUAGACAAUGUUUCUAGAAAUUAUAGGCAUGUUGGGCUUUUAAUUGAUUUGGGCCUAUGAACAAAAUCAUUAAACUCAUAUUAUUUUGUCUAAAAAUCAAGUUUACUAAAAAGGUUUGGCAUUUUGGUGCUUCUUGGAGUUAGGUUUUAAAUUUCAUUCAACUUUGGCAAGAUUCAGAUUUUAAGUUGUUCGUUUCCAGCUUCAGUUCAUGUCUCACUAGAAUCAUCGAAAUUUGCUUACAGUUCUACUUGGUUUGGUUGAAUUUCUUGGGUGUUUCCAGGUUUUCAUCUGCUAUUAAAGACUCACAUCCUUGAUUUGCUAUUUUUUACUUGACGGGGCAAUAAAUUUAAACUUUUGAAAGUUGAAACUGCACUGCAGUAAGGCAGCUUUGUUCACUGCUUUUGUAGUAUCUAGUUACCGAAUUUAGCAAAAAAAAUUGUUUAGUCUAAAUUCAAAAACUUUCUCAAAUUGUUCUUUGAAUUUUUUAGCCUGUCCUUUUGCCUGUCCACCCAUGACAUCAACCUGCUAGAUCAAACCUGCAAUUGGGAAAGAAGGAAUGUAUUUGGUUGAUGGUCUACCCCCAGUGAAUUCAAUUAACACUUAAUAACAUUCAAUCAGCCAGCCAACAGCAUCUUGCCAAAAAUAUAUAUAUGGUUUUUCACAAUUCUUUAAUCUAUUACCCAAAUAAAGUAUUACAAUUUACAAUCAUUUUUUUUUUUUAGUUUGAGGUCAAACAUAGUAUCACUAAAAAUGCACAUAUUCCUUCUCAACUUCUACUUUGAUCAUGGAAACCACAGAAACCAUGUCAUCUAAUGUUUGAGACUUUUAGUAUGACCACCCCAUAGUAAAUUCUGGCUCCACCAUCCUAGACUACAGUUUUCUGAGGUAGAAAUCUCGACUUGGCAAUAAAUGGUCCAAUGAAUACUUCAAACAGAUGCGGAAUAAAAAAAAAAUGCCACAUAGGAAACUGCAUACCUUGUGUCUGAAACAGAAACAUGUAUAAUAUACAAAUAUGAAGCUUCAAAUUUUCCCGUUUGUGUUCCUGAAGUGAGAUGUCAAAGUCAGGUUUCCAUCCAGUGCAAGAGAGACACAAAGGUGAAAUUCAUAACUGAUAAAGCAGAAAAAUUCUUGUUAAAUGCAGAACAUCGAGCUUUAAAAAUCUUAAAUAUUUUGACAGGCAAGGGUGGAUCCAAACAAUUCGAACUGUGAGGUCAAAUUAUUUUUCAAACAACGUAUCAUGAAAAAAAAAGAAAAAUCGAUUGUUUGUUGUUCAUAUUUGGUGUUUGCACUUUGGGAAGAAAUCGGUGGAUUAUAUGAUAUAUCUACGGACUAAAUAAUGGAUAUGGAACAUGUGAUAUGGAUAUAGAUUUAAAAUUUGGACCUUUUGGGGCAGAAAAUUAAGUUUUCAGCAAACACACACACAAAAAAAAAAAAAAAAAAUUCCAGAAAGCUGUGGGGUCAUUUGACCCCACAUGACCCCAAGUGGGUCUGUCCCUGUUGACAGAUACUUGUCAAUAAAAUAUUCGAUAAAUUGAAGGAGACUUUUCAAGAGAAAUUGAAUGUGCAAUCAAUCAACUUUUCGAUUUCAAAUAUACACAUAUUUUCUACUUUUUUAUGAAACAGUUAAAACGUAUAAUGCAACCAAGUGUAACAAACUCAAUUUUCAAAUCCAUCGAACAAAGAAUUUAAGUCUUCUACUUAUCAAACAAACCAGUAAUUUCAAGAAGUCAAUUUCCAUGAAUCCACUCUAUCAUCCAUCAUGCUAAAUAUUUAGUAAAAAAUAUAAAAUAAUUAAGUAUUUAAAACUCAACUCAAGAUUUCACUUAUUAGAAAAGGACAGACCUCCAAACUGACCCAACUUGACCAAAGAGACGACAUGAAAGCCCAUGAACAUAUAUGUACAUGUAUUUGUAUGUAUGUGUCUGAAUUUUGAAUAUACACUUUUAAUGAAAAAAUGUUCCACCUCCCUAACAUCUCAACCUUUUCGAUGAGGUGGUUCUAUAUACUGGGGUUUAACUCUCACUCUCACCAAUGUAUAAAAAUUCUGAACUUGUCCAAUUCACGUGAGUGCGCAUGUUGAAGACAUCAUUAACUAAAUAAAUAUACAACAAGCUUUUAAAUCACGUGUUUCAACAUACACAUACACAUGCAUAACUGCAAGCUGAAUCUGCAAUUUUUGACAAAGCGUGGAGGUGCAGCCACAAAAAAAUUACACUUCAUAGCAUAGUUUCUACAUUCCAGAGUAAUUAAAAAGAAGCGGAAUCUUAAAGCUCCAUGGCAUACGAGUCCAUCCCCAUGAGGCCAGUACUUCAGAUCUUCUUCGGCUGGUUUAAGUAGUAAGUCAAUGAAUGAGUUGCCAUGUCAAUCAUUUGGGGUGAAAAGGUGGAGGAUUGUCUUCAACUGUCCAAAUAUUUUUUGUUCUUUGCAAAUCCAUUUUCUCGGGUGAAAAAACAUUUUUUCAAAUUGAAGCAUCUCUAAUAUACAUCAACAAAAUUUGAAUUAUUAGUAGAAUAUUUUAAAUUGUAAUGAAAUAAUCAAUCUCGUACUGGGGGGAAAACAGAUAGAGACUCCUCCACACAUUGCCUUCAGAGGCUUAAAGUUUAAAGAGUGAGGAUCAAUAUAAAGGAUUUCGUUUCCAAAAAUAAGAAGGCAAAUGAAGAAUUCUCCACAAAUAAUAGCCGACAUAUAUACAAAACAUGCAAAGGACAUGAGUUUCUAACUUUACCAAAAUUAAAACAUGCAGAGGAUUAAAUUGUACACAACACUAUUAAUAAAGAAAUUUAAAAUAUUGUGUAUUUUAUUGUUGUUCAUUAUCUAGUAUGCAUACCAAACAAGCACUUAUCAAUUUGUCUAUCUAGUAGUAUGCACCAAAUAUGCACGAAGCGAGUCUUGCAUAUCUUAAAAGGCAAUUUUCUAGAGCGCCUCAAACCGUGACUUUAGUUCAAUGCCUGAAGGAGCUAUUUUUAAAGCAUUUAUAAUGUGGCACACGCCUCAAGGCACGCAAGAUGGGCACUUAGUAUUGCUGUCGAAGUACAAGUUUAAAAAGGCAAUUUUUAGGAGCACCUCAAAUCAAGGCGUUAGGUCACGCCUUAAGGCACUAAUUUUAAAGCUUUUAUAUUAGGCCCCGUUUGGUACCUAUUUUUGUAAGAAUGAAAAUGAAAAAUAUAGCCGUUACAGAACUCAUACAAGAGAUAGAAAGUCAUACAUAGUGAUUUGAUGUGAUGGAUAACGGUCAUAUUUUUUCAUUUUUAUAGUCAAAGAAUGGAAAUCAAAUGGGGCUAAGGAAAAUGCCUCAAUACACGUGAGACGUGCGAUUAGAAUUGCCGUCAAUUUAUUUUUUAUUUUUUUUGGUCCAAAAUAGGGUUAAAUGGUUAUUCUAACAAUGGAAAGUAGAUUUUUAAGCGCACCCAAUACGACCUUUUUCUUGUUUACAAUAAAAAAGCUUCUUCAAUCUUGCUGCUUCCUGCCUUGACUCGAUCCCAAGGUAGAAACAAGAUCUUUCCCACUCCAAGAUCCUGGCAACUAGAGGUGUAUAUCAAACUCCAACAUGCAAACUUUUGGUUUUACCUUUUUAUUUUAUUUUUCUGCAGUUCGUCUUAUUUUUGGUUUUCAUUUUUAAAAUUUGUUUUAUUUUAUAAUUUUUUGACUUAGGUUUUCAGUUCGUAGUGGUGAGGCCUCACAAAAGAAAAACGCAUCAGUCACAGCUUACACCUUUUUAGACAUUACCAAAAUAUAUAGGAUUUUGCCCCCUCAUAUUUGCACAGCACCACACUUCAUCUAUUAGUCAUGCACAAAAUCGCCUCGGAUUCUGAAAAUUUCUAGAAUUACAUUAGACACAUUGAAGACAGUAAAAAAAGGUAAUACACAAUGUUCAAAUAGAUUUAUUACUCCAAUCACUUACAUUUUCUAAUUGAAGAAUGCAUUGACUACCAAUUUUACUUUUUUGGUUACUCAUCAUAUUUUCAAUUUCUAACCACCGUUGAACAUUCUUCUUUAUUUAUGUAUUGUUUAAUUUCAUAAAUGAGUAUACGGUCACACAUUUGCUAUACAACUUUUCCUUCCAAACAUCUAUUUGCUUAUAAGGCAAUCCUGUCCAACUAAUAAGUGAGGAAUAGUCGAAGCCAAGAAAUCAUGAAGGCUCAACAUCGUUCAUUUUUGUGGUAACACACUGGAAUAAUAAGCAAAUGACAUUGCUUAAUUUACAUGUGUAGUUCAAGGCGUAAGAAAUAAAGCUUUAUGAUAAGUUGAAUUAUGUGCAAGCAUUGUGCACUCCACGUGCUACGAAAACAUACAAUGUGAUGUUUAGACUCUUCAAAAUAGGUGAAGUAUCCAAUUCAAAAAGACACGACAUGGGUACAGUACAAGAUAGGAUCCGGCUCAGAUACUUCAAUGUGAAGGUGAUGUGGCAUGAAAAUGGAAGUCAUGUAUGGAAGAGAAGUCAGAGGAAGAGAACCAGUAAAUGAUGCAGACAAAUGAAGCCAUAAUUGCAUUAGCUAAUAAUUGGUACAAAGUAUAAGAAGUGGCUUUUAAACAAACUUGGCCCGCAUUUUUUAAGUGCUAUUUUAAAAGAAACCGGGCCAUAUGUGUGCGUGUAUAAUUCAAUAGAUAAAAUUUAAUUUUUAUUUUUAGUCUACUCCAUCUUUUAUGCAGCAUACCAAACAUCCCAUCAAAGUUUAGAAUUUUAGGACAUCUUUUCUCAUUUUUAUUUGGAAUAAUGUGAUGCACAUUGUUAAGAAUCGAAGAAUGAGGUUAUAUGGCUCGAUAUGAAGUAUUGAUCACAACAAGAAGAAAACAAAAAACAAGAAUCUAAUUUGACAAAAUGAAUUGGAGAUUUUUAUUCAACUAUAAUGAAGAGAGAAAUUACAACAAUAUUGUGUUCCCACACUAAUUUAACUUGUAGUAAUAAAUUAACUAGUAAAGAAGAGUACUAUUUAUAGGGGUAUGUGUCAAAUCUUAAUAAUAGCCCUAAAGAUGGAAAUUAGGUCAAAAAACGUGUGGAAUAAACAAAAUAAGAAAAACCCGGACAACAGAGCGCCGCUCAAGCGCCAAUUGAGUGGUAGGCGGGAGGCACAUGUCCUAUUAAAAAUUUCGUCUUGUUGCUUGAGCGUCCGGCUAACGAUAGACUAGCGCCAUCAAUCCAUUUUUCCUUCACAGAAAUUAUUUAGACGUCUUCAAGGUCCAAUACACUAAAUCACGCAACCCUAGAUGAAUUUGGAUCACAAAACCCAACACACAUAAUCACCAAAAUAUGAUACAAUCUUCGGCAAGUGAUGUUCGGGACUUAUAGUAUGACCACCCAACAGCAAAUCCUGGCUCCACAAUCCUAGACUAUGAAUUUUAGAAAUAGAAAUCUCGAGUUGGCAAUAUAUGGUCAAAUGAAAAUCUCAUACAGAUGCAGGAUCACAAAAAUGCUGCAUAGGAGACUGUGUACCUUAUGUCUGAAACAGACAAAUACUUAUGAGCAUAUCAUAUGAAGCUGAAAGGUUUCCAUUUGAUGUUCCAUAAGUGAGAUGUCAGCCAGCCUUUCAAGAGAGACACCAAGGCGGAAUUCAAAACUGAUAAAAGAAGAACAACUCUUGGAAGAUGCAGAAUACGAAGCUUCAAAAUAAAUAAAUAAAUGAAUUAGUAUUUUGACAGAAACUUAUCAAUAAAAUAUUCAACAAAUUGAAGGAGACUUUCAAGCAAAUUGGAUGUGGAACCAAUCAAUUUUUCGGUUACAAAUUUACAUUUUUUUUUCGAGCUUUCUUAUGAAACAAUUACAACAUAUCUUGGAACCAAGAGUAACGAACUUAUUUUUCAUAUCGAUUGAACAAAGAAUCAAAGUUCUCUACUUACCAAUGAAACCACUAAUUCAAGAAAUCAAUUUUGAACAAUUCUAUUCUAUUAUCCAUCAUGCUAAAUAGUUAAUUAAAAAUACAAAAUAAUUAUUUGAAACACCACGACUCAAGAUUUCCCUUAUUAGUAAAAGACAACAGCAGCAGACCUCAGAACUUGACCGAAUAGACGACACGAAAGCCUUACACACACGUGUAUUUGUGUGCCUUUGUCUCUUUGUGUGUGUGUGUGUGUGCAUUUUAAGACUGUUAAUCAAAGAAGUCAUUCACGAUUAAACCAAAAUUUACUCAAACCAUUCAAAAUUGAAUUUUAAAUGCAGAAAGUAAAGUGUAAACACAAGGAUUUUUCGGCCGAAGCCCCAGAGGUUCAGCUUAAAGCCUAAUCCCCUGUUGAGCAUCCAUUAUAAAAUGGAUCUAGCUCGGUUGCACUAAAAACUCAAAAUAUGGAAGUCAAAAUACAGAAGUACAGAUCACAAGAUAGUCACAGAGACUUAUCUUUCUACACGAAGAUGAUUGAACUAUGCUUCUCACAAGAAUCACUCAGAUCACUUAGAUCUGUUACAAAGCACUACUGAACUCAAGAAUCACUCAGAUUCUAAUCACUAAUUACCGAACUCAAGAAUCACUCAGAUUCUUGUCACUAAUCACUCAGAAAAGUUAAGCAUUCAUACAAUCAGUAGUAUUACAGUGAGAUUACUGUAUUUUCUCACUAUUAUCUCUCAAGAAACCAUAUCACAGAAGAGAAAACACGAAGAGUUUUCAAAGGGAGCGUAUGAACUCAAACCGGCAGAGAGAAAACCCUAGAAGAAAAAUGACGAUUCAGCCGAGUGAAAUGAGUCCAACCAGAGUAAAUAAUAUCAGAAGCAUCCAAAAGCCUGAUCCAACGGCCACCAUCAUCACACGUGUCAUGAUCCAGUAUAAUGUUGUUAUUUAAAAAUGAAAGAAGUGUCAAACUUAUUAAACACGAUUUCAGCUUUAAAACUGUGGAAGCAAUAUGACCAAAGGUCCAGGGUUCAAACCCAACAAUCUCCACCUUGCUUCCAACAGUUUUGAGUAUAGUGCAACCAGGAGCUUAACCAACAUUUUACAAUUUCAUUUGCUCUAGUUCCUGCACAGUUAGUGAAAAGAAUCAAUAGAUAAUAUCUUUAAACAGUUCUGAAACUUAUUUAAAGGUAUUACUUUUGUUCCCAUAUUAGAUGGAUUAUGUAAAGUAGCAACGUUUGCAAUAUUUAACAAUCCUUUUGAUAUUACAUCUCUUAUAAAAUGAUAUUUAACAUCUAUAUGCUUAGUUCUAUCAUGAAACAUGGGAUUUUUACUCAAAUGUAUUGCACUNAAGCAUGUACAAUUUCAGUUCAUGAAUAUUAAAGUAAAGUUUGUUAUGUUCAACAAAGUUUUCAUAAAAGGAUUUCGUUAAGUUUCUCAUGAUUCCUCGGCAGUACAGAUAGAGAUUUUAAAAGAUUUUCAAAACUUUGAUUUUGAAUGGAUGUUAGCCAUGCCAAAGUACCCGUAUUUGAUGAAUGGUUAGGGGAAAAAGCAGUUUUUUAACAAAAAUUUGUAGCACCUCGAGUGUGAGUUAUCUUUUAAAAUUUCGUUCCAAGUAGGAAUUUGAUUCUGAAAAGAGUUUGGAUAGAGGUGAAAACAGAGACUCUGGAUACUGUGAGAUAGCGUCUGUGGAAACACGGCUAGUUCUCUAGAAUGAGAAAUGCAACCUUAAUUGAAAAGCCUUUUGCGGAAGCAGUUGUGGACCCAAAAUAAUUUCAAAAGACAUUUUAAAUCUUUACUUGAUUCAGAAGAUUGAUUAAGUACAUGCAAAGUAUCUAUAAGAGCAUACUGGAGGGAAAGCCUGUUUAUUUCCAAUUGAUUACUGUAAGUUAUUUACUUAUUUUUACAUGCUUAUGUUUUAAUUAUCUACAUGAACAAUUCACAAGCAUCCACUUCAAAUAUUAAUGAUGAUAAUAAUCUUAUUUUAAUAUUAGAUGAAAAAGAUGUUUCGUUCUUACUUAAAUUAGAUAAAAAAUCUGAUGAUAUAUUUCCUGUUGGUAAAGAAAAAAUAGAAGAAAUAUACAGAGAUAUAGAUUAUAAUUGUAGAAAUAAUAUAGGAUUUGAUCCUGUAGGAACUAGCAGAGAAAUAAGAAAAGUAGAAGAUAUUAUAACUAAACAUACGGAUAUACAAGAAAAAAUCUCAGAAGGAUUAUUUAAAGGAUAUAUAAUCAAGAAAGGUCAACCUAUAAUCUUUAAAGAACUAUUAAAAUAUAAAGAAUAUUUAAAAGUGUUCAAAAGAUUGAAAAAUAUAGAUAUAGGACCUGACUGAUAAAUCCUUAAAAAUAUAAGAUAAAUCUUGCAAAUAAUUUCAUUAAGGGCAAAAUAGUACUUUUAAUAGGAAAGGCUAUUGUGGAAAAUAGGAAGAAUUUUCCAGCUAUUCUCAAAGUUAUCCCCUUAAACUGUUAUACAGGGCCACAUGUAUCUUAUUUAAUAUUGUCUUCAACAAGUGCAAUAAACAAAAUACUACUUACUUUACCAGAAUGAAAACAUAGGUGACAUUGUUAAUAUAUUUUCGGGUGAAAACAAGUUGUGGAAGUAUCAAUAAUCUAUACUCGGCUAGAGACAUUAUCAAGCCAGUACUACAAGUAACAAGAAAAUUCAUAAAGUCACAUGCAGCAAAUAUGGUUGUAAUGCAUUACUGAUUGCUGAACAAUGAAUCUCCACAGUGAGGCAGUGAUUUUCAGUUUUCUUGAGAUCAUCAGUUGUAGAAAGAAGCAGAAAACUCAAACCACAAGAAAGCAUUGGCACAAAAAAAUUGCUCUAACUUUUAUGGCAUGUUUAGCAAUUUUGGACAGUAUAAUGAAGAAAAUGAAAGUACGAUGACGGACACAUUUGAGCAAGUACUUAAAUUAUAGUAGAAGGGAAAAUAAGGGGAGAAGAGAAGAGUAAGAAGGGGAGAUAUAAAAUUGGGAAAAGGAGGGGGCGGGGGGGGGGGGCUCAAAAGUACUAACCCUCAUUAUUUUAGGUUGAACAAAGCAUAAAAAAGGUAGGAAACUCAAAUAAUUGUCUGAUGCUAAAAUAAACUGAAAAACAAUUAAUAUAAACUUGCAAAUCUCCAAUAUUAUUUCUAAUAAGAUUUCCUUUAAAAUAUCUUAUCCACUAUAUUGUGUAGUGAUAUCCAAUAGUUCGUACAAAAUAUGCACAGAGUGAUUCAUUUUUUUAAGUAAAGAGAGAAAACAACGAGUAUACAAAAAUAAGUAUUCACACUUGUAAGAUACUUAAGUUUUCCAUUAAGAUACCAUUCCAACUACCAUAUAUACUUAUAGCUGCUAUCCACAAGUUUUCAUGCGGAGAAUGGUUACGCCUAUUUUCCACACCAGGAGAAAAUCUAAUAUUGACCAUAAAGCUUAUUUAAUUUAUCCCAAUGACAAAGUUGUGCACAUCUAAAUCUCAACUAUAAAAUAUAUCAAGCAAGUGCAAUAAUAAUCAAUGUUAUUAAAAUCCGUGGUUGUCCAAAUUUCCAGAUAUACAACAUACUUUAUUUAGAUAUACUAUUUGUUUCGCCUUUCCCUCGUUCAACAGUUGCACAUAAGAAAUCUCCUACCCCAACCCUGAAAAAAAAAAAAAAAAAUCAUACCUUUUCGAUGGUUAUAGUAAUUAUUUCUUUUGAUUAUAUGUCAAACCUCAAUUAAUAUCCAAGAAAUCUAACAAUCAACAUUAAACAAAACAAAAGAGGUCGUCGCUGUCAAAAUGGAAAAUCCCACCUUAUGCUUGUGGAAUAGAUGCACUUCACCCCUAUCAUUCCCCACGAGAUAGCUUGCUCUCUGAGCAAAAUAAUCUAGAUCAUUAUUCAAUAAUUCAAUUUAAACAACUCAAUAUCAUACCAUUUGCUGAAAUUCUCAAAGAAACCAGAGGAAAUCAUAAUGGCAACUUAAUACAUGCAAAACAUUACAUAGAUAGGAUAAAUCGUGGGAUCUUACUCAAAUUAUUGCCCCUUGAGGUUUUUGAAGAUUUCAAGUUUUUCUUGGAGGUUCAAAAGUCGACCAGCAAUGUUUGGCAGGUUCUUGGGAAAAUUUAAAUUGUUAUUUUUGAUGAAUCUCAAAUUUCUUGAAGGUUGAAGAACAGCCAGCAACAUAUUUUCUUGAAGUUUCGGGCAGAUUCAAAAGGAUUGUAAACCGGCAAGAAAAGGUGUUGCAAUGUCCUUUAAGGCAGACUCAAGGCAGCUUCUUGGUUCAAUCAAGUGCCAGCAGGUUGCUUUCUUGCAAUGGUUGAGCUGCU